AUUGAACGCUGGCGGCAGGCCUAACACAUGCAAGUCGGGCGAGAGGCGGACGGGUGAGUAAUGUCUGGGGAUCUGCCUGAUGGAGGGGGAUAACUACUGGAAACGGUAGCUAAUACCGCAUACCAUCAGAUGAACCCAUAUGGGAUUAGCUUGUAGUUGAGGUAACGGCGCACCUAGGCGACGCUCCCUAGCUGGUCUGAGAGGAUGAUCAGCCACACGGGGACGGAGACACGUCCCAGACUCCUACUGGAGGCAGCAGUGGGGAAUAUUGCACAAUGGGCGCAAGCCUGAUGCAGCCAUGCCGCGUGUAUGAAGAAGGCCUUCGGGUUGUAAAGUACUUUCAGCGGGGAGGCGUUACCCGCAGAAGAAGCACCGGCUAACUCCGUGCCAGCAGCCGCGGUAAUAC
rnacentral:rRNA from 1 species